rnacentral:rRNA from 1 species
CACGUAGGGUGCGAGCGUUGUCCGGAAUUAUUGGGCGUAAAGAGCUCGUAGGCGGUGUGUCGCGUCGGCCGUGAAAACCUGCAGCUUAACUGUGGGCGUGCGGUCGAUACGGGCAUCACUGGAGUUCGGCAGGGGAGACUGGAAUUCCUGGUGUAGCGGUGAAAUGCGCAGAUAUCAGGAGGAACACCGGUGGCGAAGGCGGGUCUCUGGGCCGAUACUGACGGCUGGAGGAGCGAAAGCCGUGGGGAGCGAACAGG